ACACGAGAUUGACCAAUAACAGGUCUGUGAUGCCCUUAGAUGUUCGGGGCCGCACGCGCGCUACACUGACCGGAUCAGCGUGUGCUCUCCUUGGCCGACAGGUCCGGGAAACCCGUUGAACCCCGGUCGUGCUAGGGAUAGGGAAUUGCAAUUAUUUCCCUUGAACGAGGAAUUCCCAGUAAGCGCGAGUCAUUAGCUCGCGUUGAUUACGUCCCUGCCCUUUGUACACACCGCCCGUCGCUACUACCGAUUGAAUGGUUUAGUGAGGUCCUCCGAUUGGACCCGGUCCGGGCGGCGACGUCCGAGCCGGCGUCCGAGAAGACGAUCUAACUUGAUCAUUUAGAGGAAGUAAAAGUCGUAACAAGGUUUCCGUAGGUGAACCUGCGGAAGGAUCAUUA
rnacentral:ncRNA from 1 species